UUCUCUCCCUGGGAAAGAAAACCCUAGGCUUGGAGUUUUAGCCGCCACCCCCCUUUGGGGGAGGGUGACCUCCUUUUGCUCUCCCCCUCCCCUCUCACCCUCCCCUCUCCUCUCGCCCCUCUCUCCUCCCUUUUCUUUGUUUCACACCAUCUUCUUCCCUCCCUCCCUGACUUUUCUUCUUCACCCCUUUUCUUUUGCUGUGACCUUGGCCCUUUCUUUUCUUUUUGCAGGGAGUGUGUGGUUGGGUGUGGGUGGCUCCCUUGUUUCUGCUCCUAUUUUGGAUCUCCUGUGUCCGGAGAUUUUAGUUUUGUUUCAGGCUGGAAUAGCUCUGGAAUUCGCUUCUAUCUGUGAUUUGGUGGCAAACGAGUGACCAAGCGUGCUGUGCGAUCCUCUUCAGCCUUUUGUGCUGCUUGUCUUCAUCCCGUUUGGGGUGAUCGAUCAAGAUUCUCUUCAAGUUUUUACUUGUAAGAGCCUGGUUCUUCUGGUUGUUCCUACAGCUGUCUGCACGGUGGUGGCUCAGUUUUUGGUGCUCCUGUCUAGAUCUACUCAGAUCUAUUCAUCCCCGGGGGCUGCCCUUCGGCCUGGUCGUUGUGGGUGAUCUCUGCUCUACCUGGAGCUGCUUGAGCUUGCUGUGCGGAUCUUUGGCUUUGCAAUUUUCUUGUUGUUUUUUAUGCUUCAACUCAUUUUGAGUGUGUUGCUUGUUGCUGUCUCUUACUUGUAUUUUACUAGUGAGGGUUUAAGUUACUUUGCUUUUGUAGUUUGGGUGCCUAGGCGUCUGGUUUUCGGCGUUUAGUGUUCUAUGCCGGAUUUUUCCUGGCUUGCGGUCUUUUUACCGAUCGUUCUCUGGCCUUCUGUGGCCAUGAUUGGAGUUCCCGAAGUUACCGGUGUCCUCCCCCUUUGGACGACUGUCCACACUAGUUCUCUCUGGCCUCCUGUGGCCAUGACUGGAGGUCCCAAUGUUACCGGUGUCCUCCCCCUCUGGACUACUGUCCACCUUUGUAUCAACCCUAAAUGGGUAUCGGUCUCUGUUAUUGCUAUGGCCCUUUCGGCUCUUGUACUGUUCUUUACGGCCUCUGUACUGGCCUUUUUGGCUAACGGCCUCUGUGCCUGAUCAAUGAAUGCAAUAUAUCGCUAAGUUUCAAAAA